rnacentral:tRNA from 1 species
GGGGCGGUAGCUCACUGGUAGAGCUCCAGCUUUGUACGCGAGAAGACCUGGGUUCGACUCCCGCCUGCUUUC